UUUAGCAGUAGAAAAAUGAUUAGUUUUCUUUCCUCAGUAGUUGGUGUGAAUGUACUUUUCUUUAUCUAUUUACAUAUUACAUAAACACAUUUUACCAGCAUUUCUGUACAUAGGUUACAGUCCUGAUCCUGCAGAGAGCCUUUCACACAGGGAUUGAUUGACAUGGCUCAUAUAGACCUAUUUGCAUGGAACUCAUGACAGUGUUGUAACUGUAUUUUUAUCUUUAUGUGUGUACUUAAAUUUACAACACUGUAUGAGGAUGCCAACACAAUUUAAGUCCACAAAACAAUUGCGUAACUUAGCACAUUUUGCUUUCUUUUCAGCUAACAAAGUCUCUGAUCUCUUCUGCUGUGUUCCUGUAGUAGGCUGCAGGUCCAUGUGGCUUUUGAGUUAUGCUAAAAGCUUUGUCCUUAUUGUACAGUGUAAGUUCUUCCUGGUGUGCAGGGGGAAUGAGGGCCUCAUUUGUGUAACCUUUUGGAAUUGUACCGGUGCUUCUCCCUUUGGAAGGCAUUGCAGUAACAGUGGCAAAUAUUUGGGAGAAUAUGAAAGAAAUCACAUGAAUACUUGAUUUAUCAAAGUUAUCUGCAUCUGUAUUUGUUGGUGUAUACAUAAUGCUAAAUAGGACACGUGUAACCCAUAUAUGCUGUGUCAGCAUGCAGGAAUUUGAGGCAGAAGGCUCUGAAGCUGUUACUAGACUUACACUCCAGGCAAACACUGUGUUACAGUAUUCAGUCACCCAUUCCCUAUACAAGGAGGUGCAAGUAAGGUUGUCCAAGCAGCCUGACCAAUGUCCUUUCCUAGCAGUUAAGAGCUGUUUUGUAAAUUUGCUGUGCUUUGACCCUAGCUUUACCUGGGAAUUAAAAUGUUAAUGCAUAGUCUCAUACUGCUGCUUUAUUGAGAUGAUAAUACUCCAUUUCAAAUACAGUGACCGUGUUCUCUGUUUACAAAUCUGGCUGUGCACACUUGGAACACAAUUAUCUAAUUCUCUUCUUGGUUCCUGCCUCAUGUAGGUAUGCUUUGGUUGAGCCACUGGGGGAUUGUGCACAGAGGAGCUGGCUCACCCCUUGUCUUGUUUUCCAGGCUUACCAGAGAGUUAAACCCCACUUAUUAGCAUUUUUUCUUGAAAAAUGUGACAACCUUCUGCUUCCAUGUAUUCUAAUAGGGAGAAAAAGACAUGUGGAUUAGCAUCAGAGAUACUGUGCUAUGACAUGUCAAAUUUUUCCCUUCAAUUAAAUUAUUCAGUGGAAGGGUGUCAGAAGGAGCUCCUUGAAACUAGCACUGUUUAUUUGGCAUGGAUCAGUAGUCAAGCUGGGGUGAUUCAGUGUGCCUUGUAUUUGUGAAAUAAGUUACUUUUCCCUUUGUGCAAGGGGAAGUAUUUGGGGGAGUUUGCCUCUCGGGCGGUGUGCUCACACAAGGUGGCAGAAAUCUGUGUCUGCAGGGCACAUAGUCCUGCAGGAUGGUGCUGCAUGGGGUGGUGUGUGCCUCUAGUCUGAGGUCAGACUGCCUGAUGGGGGGAACAAGAGCUUGUUCAGCCACAGCUCUGUUCAGAGGGUUGUACCUUCUCUGAACCUCAUCAUGGUCACAAAUGCUCACAUUUCUUAUAAUGGAGAAUUGCUUUAUUACAUUACCAGAAAAAAAAAUAGAAGCAUGAAACAGUGGUUAUGCAUUUCCAAAUACUGGGUCUGUAGAAGAGCAGAGCAGUGACUCCUAAGCCAGCUGUUGUGGGCAUGCAGAGCAGCAUGAUUAAGAUUUCUGUUCUCUCAGGCUGGCUGUGCAUGCUCUGGAGCUCGUUGUAAUUGACUGACUGGCAGCAGCAUGCUUGUUUCCCAGUGCACUUGUCCUGGUGCCCACUGGCACCCAGCUGCCCAUCCCUGGCCAGGUGUUACACCAGGAGUGUUACCAUGGCUGUGACAUGUAUAGCAGAGGGGGUCCAGGAAGUUAAACCAGGCUCAUCUGUCAGUCAGGAAGAAUGAGCAAAAUUUGCCCUCAAUGUGGAGGGCACUGAAGAAACAGUGUUGGAGACCAGUUAUAUGAUGACUCCUUUGGGUUCCAGGGAGUAAAUACUGUGGAGAAAACUUGGCUCAAAGCUUCGAGGACCAAGUAAUUGAUGUAAGCCCUGGGUUACACAGGAUAUAAACAUGCUUUUAUAAGUACUGGAAAUACUGAGAAGAGUUUCUUCUGCUUUCAGUUCAUAAUAGGGAACAUUGGGUACAGUUUGUUUGCUUGAUUGGUUCAUUUUAUUGUGUGUAAAUACACUGUAGAAACAAAUUUGCCUUUUCUUCAGUGGUACUCAGCUAGUGUGCUUCUGGUAAAUCCAGUGAAUUAAGGGGAAUAAGUAAUGUGCUCUGGUCUGUCAUUGAAACAAAGUCCAUUUAAAAUUAAGGCCAUGAGGGACAUGGUGAGGCUGCAGAAGAGUUCGAACAGUGAGCAGAACUGGUGGCCUGUGCCACAGAACAGAAACCUUCAGGUCACAUAUGUCACAGGCACACAACUCACUGGUGGUGUGAGCUGCCUCAUGAAGGAGUGGUGCUCUCCCUUGUAUGGUAUGAAACUCUGGCUCCACGGAUCUUAAUGAAAAUGGCGAGGUUUUGCACUGGGACAAAUGAGAGCAGAAUCUGGCCAACUGUUAAUAGGUUUUUGUACUGGAGGCUGAAAUAAAGUGGCUGUGUAUGCAAAUAAUUGUGCAAGCUGACUUGUGAAUGACUCCUAAAAGAAGAAUUCAAUAUUUAAUUGUUGGAAAUACAAACUGUUUGGCACAAAUCUCCUGGUUUGGCUGAGCUAUACUUGACCUGUGACAGAGAGAGCAAAGGUGAUUUUAUGUCCUGGGAUCCCAAGGGCCCAGUGUAAUGUAACUCAAGCCAGAGCCAGUGUGUUGACUGCUCUGUAAUUACGGAUGCUUAUUUUGUGUACAAAACCAGUUGAUUCAUUAUCUUUUAUUUCCAUUAUCUCAUCUCAAUCUUUAUGUGUGAAUCUGAGCUAUUUGAGUUCAAGGGAAUGGCAUAUAGCUAGAAUUAAAAGAGGGGCUUGAUAACAAAAAGUUGGUUGUUCUGAUAUAAAGAUGUUCUGAUGUAACCAAAAUGAUGAAAUUGGUUAAAUCUAUCUGCAAAACGGAAAACUUUGUGAGAAGUCUAAGAGGUUCAAAAUAACCUUUCUUCUACUCCAUGACCUGCAUUUCUUGCAGUAUUUUGACCCAUGCCUUGGAACAAGGAUAGUUUAGCUCUUAGAAUAUAAGAGACAAUUAGAAGCUGCCAUGAUGCUGUAGCUUAACACUCUGUAGCUCUUCAGCUGUGCUUGAGGAGCCAGCUGAGCUCCAGCAGAGCUCUGCUCUUUAUGCACAAGUCAUGUGGUGAAGAUGGCUUAAGCCAUCUUCAUUUUGUUAAAUUCUUAAACUAUGGUAAUCUCACCCUAAGUUACCAGCUGUCCUUAUGCCUACGAAUGUGGCCAUGCCAUUUGAAACUCUGUAGAGCAGAGAAUGUUUUUCCUGGAGCCAAGAUCUGUAAGUGCUUUCAGCUUUCAAUGAAUCUCCAGUAUUUGCUAAAGUAAGCUUUACUUGCAUGAGCUAAAUAUUGCCACUUUUAAGUACAAGUCUUGAUGGUGUGGAGAGAUAUGAAAUUUUAUUGGGAUAAAAGUGUGAGCCCAGAGUUGAUGGGAUAUGUUUGAAAAUAGUUCCUGGCAGAAGUUACACUGGCUGAGAAUCAGGUGCUCACACUUAUUCCAGUUGACAUCAGUGGAAGAUGCACACAUGAAGUGAAAGUACUGUGUGGCCUUUAAGAUUCUGUUCCUGUGGUACAUGGGGUUUUAUAAUACACAGAAGAAAGGAAACAUUCACUUUUCCAGGUAAUCAUUACAGACUGGGUGUCUGAUCUAUUUCAGUCUGCUCUGUCUGGGGAAUGUCUCCAUGACUUUAGUGAAGUGAUGUGCAUGUACAACAAGGAGGCUUUUUGGAUGGAAUUUGUAAUGCAGGACUCAUUAACUGAUGAUAGUGAAUAAUUUUGAAAGAGAUGAGUACAGCACUUGCUGCUCACUUAGAUCAUAGAAAUAACUUGAGGGAAUAUGUUCACCAAACUGAGAUGUUCUCUAAAAUGCUUGCUAACAGAUUACUUAUGCUUCUGUAUGCCAAAAGCAGUAGCUUUUUCUCCAAACCAAACAGAAAAUUAGAUUCUCUUCUUUUUUAAUUGUAUGAGGAGUAAACGUGAAAAUUGUUUCAGUUACGUGGAUGUUAUGUAAGGGUCACCAGUGGAAAAUCAGGCCCAGUGCUUUGCCUGUUUGUCUAAUGCAGGUGGCAUUUCCAUUUUGUUUUUCAAGACCCCUGAGGUCUUGCUUGCAACUGUAUCAAAAAUAUAGUCACUCAUUCUCCACCACACAGAAAAAUCCCUCGGUCAAGUUUCCUGUUGGUGUGUGUCUCCUCCCUUUGGCUGUUUGUUAUUUUGGAUGCAGCUCUGUGGGACAGGAACUGUCGGUCAGUGCACCAGAGCCUGUGGGCACUGCUGAAAUCAAGAGAGCAGCUUCCCUUCCACUGUGCUACUUCUGUAACUGAGGGCUGAGCUGGAGGGCUGGUGGUUUGCUUUUCUAGGUGAACCCAGGGAAGAAGAUGUAUUGCAUGAGCAGUCCUACAUUGCUCUGGCUGGCUCCAAGUGUGGCUGGAUACAUUAGAAAUCCAAGAGCUUCUCAGCUCUCAGCCCCAUCUGUGUGUCCUACAGCACCAGUCUCCAGGGAACUGAGGUUACUAGAUUGGAGGAUAUGAGUUGCAUAAAAAAGUUCCAGUCCCCAGGAGUUUAGGAGUGAUGUUUGGCAGAAUAAAUACUUAUUACUUGCUUUCAUGUUACAUGGCAUGGGACUUGCUCUUCCUUGCAGAUGACUUCUCCAGUGCUGUUUGGAUGUGCCUGCUGCUCUGUGAUUGCUCCUAAAGCCUUGAUUUGACAGCAGCCUCUGGCAUGCUGUGGGCCAGCAGAUCUGCAUAGCAACAGACCCGCCAGUCUUCCUGCAGAGAGUUAAAGGAAUUUUGGAGAAAAUAAGCCAGUCAAAAAUUUGCCAUUCUCUUCUGUGGCAAUUCCCUGGAUUCAAAGUGUCCCUCGUCUCUGGCACAGAAGUACUGAUCUAGUUGACUACAUGGAUUUGCAACCAGCAGCUCAGCAGCUGCUUCAUGAACCAUCCUUCCAGGAGGGGAACAUCACAAAGAUGGAUUCCUUUAGCAAGGAAGAUAUGACAGGUUGUGAUAUUGGACUGCAGUGAAGUUCCACCGGUGCUGUUCUACCCUUCAUGAGUGAGCACUGCUGGGCUGUGCAGCUGGCAAGCUCAGGCCCUUUUUUUGGAGGCUUGAGCCAACUGCUUUUGGUCUGGGAGCUUACAGAAUGGGAGUAGGCUGAAUCAAGCCUCUGUCAAGAACCACUGGUGAAAUACUGAAUUAACAUACCCAAGACCAGCACAUCAGGAGGAUAGCCUUCUACCAAGAAUAGUGUGGAGAUAUACCUUGUUCACAGAAGCUCUGGAAACAUCGUGAGACUUGGACAGACACAGUGCAUCCUCAGAAGGCAGAGAUGCUGCUGCUGUCUGGGCAUUGCACACUCUGUGUUCGUGACAGAUAGAAAUAAUGCCCAGUUUUGGGGGAGCUUGGUGGUAUGGGAGACAGUCACAGUAACUCUAAUAGGGUGGCUUAUCACUUUCUUGUGAAGCCAGGUACAGAUUCUGUUCUCUUUUGCACCCACAAAUCUGGUAUAAUAUUAAUUAGAUUGUCAUAAGGGUGCAUUAGUGAAGAUCCAUAAAACAAAAAAAAAGGAAAUGUUCUAUAGUCAUGCUAAAACUUGGUAUGUGAUUUAUGUGAAGGGGGUGAACAGAGAUCAUUAGCCAUGAAACACUGCUUUUCCAGAAAUAUGAAAUAUUUAGGUAAAAUAUCUAGGUAAGAUCUAACAUAAAUUUGAUUACUGCCUGAUAAAAUGGUGUCUCUUCCCUUCUAAAUAGGUUUGAUCAUCUCCUCAGUGCAAGCCCUGCACCUUCAGCUAGAUUCCUUCCCAGGCAGCUACAGUGGAUCUGCUCACCAAGGGAAUUUGUCCCACUGGAUUCCUUUUUUUAUUUUUUUUUCCGUGCAGUUGAAUGAAAAGUGUGUGUCUUUUGAAGAACGGCAACUGAAAGAAAUAUUGAUGACUGCCAGGGCAUCUACAGAAAAAGAUAAGAAAAUUACUCUACUACAACAGUGAAGACAAAGGGGCUUUGUUAACACUUUCUUGUAGGUUGUAUAUAUUAAUAGUAACAAGUAAAGUUUUGUAUUUUUUCAGAGAAACACACAAGGCCUUGAAUUGUAUUGUUUUAAUUGCAACUAACUGAAUGAAUUAAGUGGAAAAUCACACACAGUACUUUGAUUGUCUAAUUCUCUGUAUGUGAGGCUUUGGGAACAGUUUGUUAUUAUAAAAGAACAGCACUAACCAGAAAUCAGCCAACAUGUAAUUGCUAGGCUGAGGGGCAGUUUGGGGAAAGCUGAUACUUAUUUAUACAUUAUUAAAUAAAAGCACAUAAUAUGAGGAUCAUCUCUCACUGCCUCCACUUCAUACAUUACUCAUCUUCCUAAAUUUCAUGGUUAUGUACUCCCUUAGUACAUUGCUGCUUAUAACCAGUGCAGGCAUCAAAACCACCCACAUCCAGGAAAAGAGAUGCCUGUGCAUUUGUUAUGAUGGCAGAUUUGGUUGUGGGACUCAUCAAAGAUUAUGAACCUUCAGUUCAAGGAAAGGAAUCUUGACUCAAGUUUUAAAGGUUGUUUUCAGUACCUAAAAUACACCUGGGCACCUGGGACUGUUCAGGCGGCUGAAAUUCUGGCUGGUGUUUCCAAUUGACAAUGUACCUUUAGAGAUUUACGGUCAGUAAAUCUAAAUGUACCUUUAGAGAUUUACAGCCAGUACCCUGAUAGAAGAUUACCCUAAUAGCCAGUACCUAAAUAGAAGACUUAAGGGCAAUUUUGGUGUUAAAUUUGACAGAUUUCCCAAAAAAAAAGUUGGUUAUGUAAUUCCCAUCAGUUUUGGUAAGAAUCAGGUAACUUCUGAUUAUCUCCAGUGGUUCUCACUGCUCACUUGUGCCUUACUACCAUAGGAAACAGCCACUUGCAAGACACAGAUAGAGGAGGCAGGUGGUGAGUGGACUCAUGAAGAAGGUAGAGCAGUACUUUAUUCUCAGUGGUUUUGACUAUUUCAGCUCUCCUGGAGGAUAGAACUGCCAUUUGUUCCUUUAGCACAAAUUUGAGGGCUUUCUUCUCGGAAAGCAAGGUCUGUUUCAGAGGACACAGAAGCAGUUCUUUGUGCCAUGUAACAAGGGGUUGAGUAAUUCUGGCCUCACAAGUGAGAUGCAUGUCUUACAGACCAAAGGCCCUCGGUGAUCUGCAGCAGAGAGCCUGUGGAUGGCAAGGUGUGCCAGCACCUGGGGAGUUGGCACUGCUGGACACAUCUGCAGACUUGCUGAGCUGCUAUAUACAGUGACAUUCAUGCUGUACAAACAAACCCCACUAUUAAACCACUUAAACACUGUUUAUGCAACUUCAAAAUGGUAGAGGCUUGAUUUUAUGACUUCAUCUGCAGGCUUGUUGAAACUUACAUGUCCACGCUGAAGUGGUGUGAAGAUUAAAUUGCUAAUCCUAGUUACCAGUAUAGACUGUUGCACAGAAGGUGCCUGAGAGGUGGAACUGGGCAGCGUUCAGCUUUGCACAGCUCUUGCCAAGAGUUAUUUGGUAUCCCUGUUGCUGUUUUUUGAAGUCCAAAAAUAUUUUCCCCCAAAUAACCUAUUUUUCUGCAAGGGAACACAGCUGCAUUUAUGAAAGGUCUUGGCUUUUACAGUAAGUCUGGUUUGUAUAGUUUCCUCUCUCUAUGUAUGUUAUCUGCAUAAGUACCAACAGUCAUAAUGAAAAACACAGUUUUGUUACAGGAAUUUUUAACAGUGGUUUUCAGCAGUUUAGAAAACAUUGGAGCUACUUCCAACAAAUGA